AUUGAACGCUGGCGGCAUGCCUUACACAUGCAAGUCGAACGGUAACGGGCCUUCGGGUGCCGACGAGUGGCGAACGGGUGAGUAAUGCCUCGGAACGUACCUUUCAGUGGGGGAUAACGUAGCGAAAGUUACGCUAAUACCGCAUAUUCUGUGAGCAGGAAAGCAGGGGAUCGCAAGACCUUGCGCUGAUUGAGCGGCCGGUGUCAGAUUAGCUAGUUGGUGAGGUAAAGGCUCACCAAGGCGACGAUCUGUAGCGGGUAUGAGAGGAUGAUCCGCCACACUGGGACUGGGACACGGCCAAGACUCCUACGGGAGGCAGCAGUGGGGAAUUUUGGACAAUGGGGGCAACCCUGAUCCAGCCAUGCCGCGUGAGUGAAGAAGGCCUUCGGGUUGUAAAGCUCUUUCGGCCGGGAAGAAAUCGCACAGGUUAAUACCUUGUGUGGAUGACGGUACCGGAAUAAGAAGCACCGGCUAACUACGUGCCAGCAGCCGCCGUAAAAC
rnacentral:rRNA from 1 species